rnacentral:rRNA from 1 species
UACGUAGGGUGCGAGCGUUAAUCGGAAUUACUGGGCGUAAAGCGUGCGCAGGCGGUCUGUUAAGACCGAUGUGAAAUCCCCGGGCUUAACCUGGGAACUGCAUUGGUGACUGGCAGGCUUUGAGUGUGGCAGAGGGAGGUAGAAUUCCACGUGUAGCAGUGAAAUGCGUAGAGAUCCGGAGGACCCAGAGGCGAAGGCGGCGCCCUGGCUCGCAACUGACGCUCAGACACGACAGCAUGGGGAGCGAACGGG